UACGUAGGGUGCGAGCGUUAAUCGGAAUUACUGGGCGUAAAGUGUGCGCAGGCGGCAGAGCAAGUCGAGUGUGAAAGCCCCGGGCUUAACUUGGGAAUUGCGCUCGAAACUACUUUGCUGGAGUGUGGCAGAGGAAGGUGGAAUUCCACGUGUAGCGGUGAAAUGCGUAGAGAUUUGGAGGAACACCAAUGGCGAAGGCAGCCUUCUGGGCCAACACUGACGCUCAUGCACGAAAGCGUGGGGAGCAAACAGG
rnacentral:rRNA from 1 species